rnacentral:rRNA from 1 species
GACGAACGCUGGCGGCGUGCCUAAUACAUGCAAGUCGAGCGAGCGGAACUAACAGAUUUACUUCGGUAAUGACGUUAGGAAAGCGAGCGGCGGAUGGGUGAGUAACACGUGGGGAACCUGCCCCAUAGUCUGGGAUACCACUUGGAAACAGGUGCUAAUACCGGAUAAGAAAGCAGAUCGCAUGAUCAGCUUUUAAAAGGCGGCGUAAGCUGUCGCUAUGGGAUGGCCCCGCGGUGCAUUAGCUAGUUGGUAAGGUAAAGGCUUACCAAGGCGAUGAUGCAUAGCCGAGUUGAGAGACUGAUCGGCCACAUUGGGACUGAGACACGGGCCAAACUCCUACGGGAGGCAGCAGUAGGGAAUCUUCCACAAUGGACGCAAGUCUGAUGGAGCAACGCCGCGUGAGUGAAGAAGGUUUUCGGAUCGUAAAGCUCUGUUGUUGGUGAAGAAGGAUAGAGGUAGUAACUGGCCUUUAUUUGACGGUAAUCAACCAGAAAGUCACGGCUAACUACGUGCCAGCAGCCGCGGUAAUACGUAGGUGGCAAGCGUUGUCCGGAUUUAUUGGGCGUAAAGCGAGCGCAGGCGGAAGAAUAAGUCUGAUGUGAAAGCCCUCGGCUUAACCGAGGAACUGCAUCGGAAACUGUUUUUCUUGAGUGCAGAAGAGGAGAGUGGAACUCCAUGUGUAGCGGUGGAAUGCGUAGAUAUAUGGAAGAACACCAGUGGCGAAGGCGGCUCUCUGGUCUGCAACUGACGCUGAGGCUCGAAAGCAUGGGUAGCGAACAGGAUUAGAUACCCUGGUAGUCCAUGCCGUAAACGAUGAGUGCUAAGUGUUGGGAGGUUUCCGCCUCUCAGUGCUGCAGCUAACGCAUUAAGCACUCCGCCUGGGGAGUACGACCGCAAGGUUGAAACUCAAAGGAAUUGACGGGGGCCCGCACAAGCGGUGGAGCAUGUGGUUUAAUUCGAAGCAACGCGAAGAACCUUACCAGGUCUUGACAUCUAGUGCCAUUUGUAGAGAUACAAAGUUCCCUUCGGGGACGCUAAGACAGGUGGUGCAUGGCUGUCGUCAGCUCGUGUCGUGAGAUGUUGGGUUAAGUCCCGCAACGAGCGCAACCCUUGUUAUUAGUUGCCAGCAUUAAGUUGGGCACUCUAAUGAGACUGCCGGUGACAAACCGGAGGAAGGUGGGGAUGACGUCAAGUCAUCAUGCCCCUUAUGACCUGGGCUACACACGUGCUACAAUGGGCAGUACAACGAGAAGCGAGCCUGCGAAGGCAAGCGAAUCUCUGAAAGCUGUUUUCAGUUCGGACUGCAGUCUGCAACUCGACUGCACGAAGCUGGAAUCGCUAGUAAUCGCGGAUCAGCACGCCGCGGUGAAUACGUUCCCGGGCCU